CUGACUCAGUCUGAAGCAGCAGUUAAAAAGCCUGGAGAAUCUCAUCGACUCACCUGUACGGCUUCUGGCUUCACUUUCAGUAGCUAUUACAUGAGCUGGAUCCGACAGCCUCCUGGGAAGCCACUGGAAUGGAUUGCUUCUAUUUAUGACAGUAGCUACAUAUAUUAUGGCAGCUCUUUUAAAGGCAGAUUCACCAUCUCCAGGGACAACAACAAGAACCAGGUGUAUUUACAGAUGAACAACUUGAAGGACGAAGACACUGCAGUUUAUUACUGUGCGAGAGACACAAGUUUUGCCUUUGACUAAUGGGGAAAAGGGACACAAGUCACCAUCACUACCGGAGCACAAACGGCUCUUACUUCCGUGUUCGCCCUGUCGCCCUGCUGCUCCAGAGGCAAUGCUGAACUGCUCAGUCUCGGCUGUCUUGCCAGUGGCUACUUCCCGGCGGACUCAGUCACCUUCAAGUGGAUGGAUGCAGACGGCAAAUUGGUGUCCGACUUCCUGCUGUACCCGUCGGUGAAGAGCGGUGUCACCUAA